AGCGAACGCUGGCGGCAGGCCUAACACAUGCAAGUCGAACGGAUCCUUCGGGAUUAGUGGCGGACGGGUGAGUAACACGUGGGAACGUGCCCUUUGGUUCGGAACAACUCAGGGAAACUUGAGCUAAUACCGGAUGUGCCCUUCGGGGGAAAGAUUUAUCGCCAUUGGAGCGGCCCGCGUCUGAUUAGCUAGUUGGUGAGGUAACGGCCCACCAAGGCGACGAUCAGUAGCUGGUCUGAGAGGAUGAUCAGCCACACUGGGACUGAGACACGGCCCAGACCCCUCGGGGGGGGAGGAGGGGGGAAUUUUGGGAAAGGGGCGAAAGCCUGACGCAGCCAGGCCGGGGGAAUGAUGAAGGUUUUAGGAUUGAAAAAUUCUUUCAGGGGGGACGAUAAUGACGGUACCCGCAGAAGAAGCCCCGGCUAACUUCGU
rnacentral:rRNA from 1 species